UACAGAGGGGGCAAGCGUUGUUCGGAAUUACCGGGCGUAAAGGGCGCGUAGGCGGCCCGCUAAGUCGAACGUGAAAUCCCCGAGCUCAACUCGGGAACUGCGUCCGAUACUGGCGGGCUUGAAUCCGGGAGAGGGAUGCGGAAUUCCAGGUGUAGCGGUGAAAUGCGUAGAUAUCUGGAGGAACACCGGUGGCGAAGGCGGCAUCCUGGACCGGCAUUGACGCUGAGGCGCGAAAGCUAGGGGAGCAAACAGG
rnacentral:rRNA from 1 species